rnacentral:rRNA from 1 species
UACGGGGGGGGCAAGCGUUGUUCGGAAUUACUGGGCGUAAAGGGCUCGUAGGCGGCCAACUAAGUCAGACGUGAAAUCCCCAGGCUCAACCUGGGAACUGCGUCUGAUACUGAUUGGCUUGAAUCCGGGAGAGGGAUGCAGAAUUCCAGGUGUAGCGGUGAAAUGCGCAGAUAUCAGGAGGAACACCGAUGGCGAAGGCAGGUCUCUGGGCAUUAACUGACGCUGAGGAGCGAAAGCAUGGGGAGCGAACAGG